ensembl:lincRNA
AUGGCUAAAAGAAGGGUGUAUCCACGGGAGACAAGCGAUGUUGGAGCAGUGCUGAGGAAAGCAGGAGGCAGCAAAUAUGAAAAACUGGAUUCUGAGUAUGUAUUGAGUUCUUACUUGCGGCAGAUAUUGUAUGUUGACUCUCUCAACACCCAUUCCAACUUCUUUUUACUUGCCUUCCUCCAUUUUGGAAGCUUAAAAGCUAAAAGCUCAUCUUUUCAGACUACUUUUUACUUAGAGGUGGUCAUGUGACUCAGUUCUGGCCAAUGAGACAUCAGCUUUGAAAGACUUCAGUACUUUCGGUUAGGGCUGCCUCUUCUCUUUCUUCCUUUCCACUGCCCAGAAUGUUAUUAGCCAUCCCACGGUUGAAGCAGCCCUUACUAAGGAUGAUGGAGCAGAAGAGCAAGAAGCCUCCUUUCUCGAUGGCAUCCUUGAGCCCCUACACAUUCCCUAGACCUACCUACAACUUUUUGUUACCUUAAGUGAAAUAAACCUGUUUCUAUUAAGUUACCAUUGAUUGAGCUUUCUCAUACUCAUUACUGAAGGCAAUCCUAAUCAAAAGAGU